rnacentral:rRNA from 1 species
AAUGGAAGCUUUGACUUAGUGGCGGACGGGUGAGUAACGCGUGAGGAACCUGCCUUUCAGUGGGGACAACAGUUGGAAACGACUGCUAAUACCGCAUGACAUAUAGAUGUCGCAUGGCAUUUAUAUCAAAGAUUUAUCGCUGAAAGAUGGCCUCGCGUCUGAUUAGAUAGUUGGUGAGGUAACGGCCCACCAAGUCAACGAUCAGUAGCCGGACUGAGAGGUUGAACGGCCACAUUGGGACUGAGAUACGGCCCAAACUCC